ACUUUCCACUUCCUGAGCUGCUGCACAAACGACUAGCUGGUCAGCCAGUUCCUGAUGGUCAGCCUAUGACUUCAGUUGUCAGUGCUUGGAUGAUCACAAAGGCAGCCAGUGGAGUGACAGGUACACCCUACAGUGAGCUGAUGAAUUUGUAGGUGUCUGCUAUGACAAGACUGAGGUAUCCACACUACGAUGGUUGUGGCAGGCAUGCUAGGCCAGAACGCUACGUGCUGCACGGUGACACAGUCCUCGCAGUUUCUCCCAUGAGGAGCGAUGGAAAGUUGAGCAAAAUCAUGAGUGAACCAACAAUGAUAACACAUGAGGCUAAUAAAAGUUUGCAAGAGCAAGGACAAAGUCAGUAUGCGCCUAUAAGGAGCAAAGUGGUGCUAUUAUUAUUAUUUUGUUCUCUCUGGUCACUGUCUCACUUGAUGAUGCUCAGAAGUGUCACAAACACCUGAAAGGAGUUUCUUCAUUUUUCAAAGGGGGGGCUGUGCGAGGUCCAGAGGUUUAACUGUACUAAUUCAUUAUAUGCUCAUAUAUAUUCCUUGUAUCUGUUUUUCAUUUUAUGUCCUGUACUAUAUUUAAUCAGUGUUGUGUAUAAGAUUGACUGAGAGGUGACCCCAGUGGCCUAAAGAGCGAACUUAUCAGUCUGGAUGGCUGCCCAGACUACACAGACACUGAGGCACCUGUCGCACUUCAGCGACGGUGAGACAGAAGGAGCUUUUUUUUUUUGAUGUCAUGUUGAGAAUCAUUAAUUUUGCUUAUUUGUCUUUGGCUGCACGUCAUUAAUCUG